AAGGUACUCCCUCCGUCCCAAAUUACUUGUCGCAGAGAUGGAUAAAAAUGGAUGUAUCUAGCUCUAAAAUACGUCUAGAUACACCCAUUUCUGUGACAAGUAAUUCCGGAUGGAGGGAGUAUAUG
rfam:Hordeum vulgare subsp. vulgare, WGS project CAJW01000000 data, contig: morex_contig_1560205